rnacentral:rRNA from 1 species
GAUGAACGCUGGCGGCGUGCUUAACACAUGCAAGUCGAACGAGAAUCAACGGAUUGAGGAUUCGUCCAAAUGAAGUUGAGGAAAGUGGCGGACGGGUGAGUAACGCGUGAGGAACCUGCCUCGGAGUGGGGAAUAACAGUUGGAAACAGCUGCUAAUACCGCAUAAGCCCACAGCUCGGCAUCGAGCAGAGGGAAAAGGAGUGAUCCGCUUUGAGAUGGCCUCGCGUCUGAUUAGCUGGUUGGCGGGGUAACGGCCCACCAAGGCGACGAUCAGUAGCCGGUCUGAGAGGAUGAACGGCCACAUUGGGACUGAGAUACGGCCCAG